AACGAACGCUGGCGGCAGGCUUAACACAUGCAAGUCGAACGCACCGCAAGGUGAGUGGCAGACGGGUGAGUAACGCGUGGGAACCUACCCUUUGGUUCGGAAUAACUCAGGGAAACUUGAGCUAAUACCGGAUAAGCCCCUCGGGGAAAGGAUUUAUCGCCAUAGGAUGGGCCCGCGUCGGAUUAGCUAGUUGGUAGGGUAAUGGCCUACCAAGGCAACGAUCCGUAGCUGGUCUGAGAGGANGAUCAGCCACACUGGGACUGAGACACGGCCCAGACUCCUACGGGAGGCAGCAGUGGGGAAUAUUGGACAAUGGGCGAAAGCCUGAUCCAGCCAUGCCGCGUGAGUGAAGAAGGCCUUAGGGUUGUAAAGCUCUUUCAGCGGGAAGAUAAUGACGGUACCCGCAGAAGAA
rnacentral:rRNA from 1 species